UCGAGCGGUAGCACAGAAGAGCUUGCUCUCGGGUGACGAGCGGCGGACGGGUGAGUAAUGUCUGGGAAACUGCCUGAUGGAGGGGGAUAACUACUGGAAACGGUAGCUAAUACCGCAUAACGUCGCAAGACCAAAGUGGGGGACCUUCGGGCCUCAUGCCAUCAGAUGUGCCCAGAUGGGAUUAGCUAGUAGGUGGGGUAACGGCUCACCUAGGCGACGAUCCCUAGCUGGUCUGAGAGGAUGACCAGCCACACUGGAACUGAGACACGGUCCAGACUCCUACGGGAGGCAGCAGUGGGGAAUAUUGCACAAUGGGCGCAAGCCUGAUGCAGCCAUGCCGCGUGUGUGAAGAAGGCCUUCGGGUUGUAAAGCACUUUCAGCGGGGAGGAAGGCGAUAAGGUUAAUAACCUUGUCGAUUGACGUUACCCGCAGAAGAAGCACCGGCUAACUCCGUGCCAGCAGCCGCGGUAAUACGGAGGGUGCAAGCGUUAAUCGGAAUUACUGGGCGUAAAGCGCACGCAGGCGGUCUGUCAAGUCGGAUGUGAAAUCCCCGGGCUCAACCUGGGAACUGCAUUCGAAACUGGCAGGCUAGAGUCUUGUAGAGGGGGGUAGAAUUCCAGGUGUAGCGGUGAAAUGCGUAGAGAUCUGGAGGAAUACCGGUGGCGAAGGCGGCCCCCUGGACAAAGACUGACGCUCAGGUGCGAAAGCAUGGGGAGCAAACAGGAUUAGAUACCCUGGUAGUCCACGCCGUAAACGAUGUCGAUUUGGAG
rnacentral:rRNA from 1 species